CCCCCUCAGAUUGGGUGCCAUUUUGCCUCCUCUUUCUAGGAAACUGGCAUUUGGCAGGCAGAGUGUUGGGAUUUACCCCCUUGGGCCUGGUCCCUUUGCUGCCCUGCAGGUCUCUCUGCACUUUUCUCCAUAAUACAGCUGGAGGAUGUGGUGCUGAAAGGAAAGCGGCAAAACGCAAAUCGAUGGGUGUUGGAUGGCAGCUCCAGCAGGGAAUGGGCUGGUGGGGGUGGCUCCCAGUCCAGCUGAAGGGAGCCCAGCCCACAGGAGCUGAGCUGAGGCAAAUCCAGCCAAUCCAGCUGGAAGGAGCACAGCGGAGCAGAAGGAAAGGGCCAGCAACCUGUGGGACUGAACUCCAGCAUGGUGAAGCUAUAAAACUCUGGAACAGGCACCCAUGUAAGACUGAGCCCAGCAGAGCAGCAACACGGCCCAACAUGGAAGAUGCAGCUUUUGGGGCAUGCACAGGAGCAGUCCCUGAAGUGCCUUUGUUCCUGGAUGCCACGUGUCACAGUGUGCAGGAAUGGUCUCCAUCAUAUCUUUGUCUGGGGAAGUCAGCCUGUGACCUGCAGGGAGUGUCCAUCAUCUUGGUUUUGUUCCUGGUGAAAAAGUGUUCUCUGGUCAUUCCUGAAAAAAAUCCCGGAGUAGCACAUCUUUACUUGUCUGACCACAGUCCUUUAAGGAGAUCAUGGGCUGAACCUUGAUUUCCCACAUUUUCUUACUGUUUUUUUUCUUUCCAGACCAGUUUGAAUGCUUUCUACUAAAUAACAAGACAACUGAAAGUCAUGUGCCGUCAUGCUCAGUGCUCAGUGCUCAUGAUUAGUUUAGUCAUGCUUUUUUCCUGCUAAAACUCUUAUGAACAUUCUGAAAAGCUUUAAAAGAGUUUAUGACCUUGUAUUUCUCCUGUGUUGUGUAUUUUGGUUUUGUAGUUGCACUAGAAGAUGAGCUGCUGUGAAAUAUUUGCUACACAAAUAGCUGUUAUGUCUAAGCAAAAGAUGAGAGGCAAUAUGCAAAACAACAACAAAAACAUACCCAUGGCUGCAUUUUCUCAAACAGCAGGUCAGAGAGAGGAAGAUCAAGCUUAAUAAGUGUAUAAGCUUAGAGUGGGAGAUGGUUGGAUUAAAGAAUAAAUACUUACAUUCUGGAUGUUGGUGUUGCCCU
rnacentral:lncRNA from 1 species